ensembl:lncRNA
GAGAAAGCAGCUGGAUGAAUUUAAGUGGAAGCCGACUUGAACUUCCGCUACCAGCCAGUGGCCCCAGCUCACAUUGUGUCUGGAACUGGUGAGUUCUUGGUCUCGCUGACUUCAAGAAUGAAGCUGCAGACCCUCACGGACAAAUGGAUCAGGAUCUAAUCUGCUUACUCUUGCUAUACUUGCCAGCAAUUUUGAUGUGAUCAUAGGAUUAUCUUCAGCAUUUCAAACACUUGAACUCUGCAUUCAUUUUUAGCAUGUCAACCAAGGUGGCAGGUAUUUUUGUCAAAAGGCAAAAUCCAACUCCAGUACCUCUUUGGGAUUAUAUGUCUGGAACGUAUAACAGCCAAUUUGGAAUUAUGAAAGUAUCUGAAGUGAAAAGAAUGGUACUGAGAUAUUGCCUGUUUCCAGCACCGCUUCAGAAUGAUCCAGAACAAUGUCUUCUCAUAGAAAUGGAAUGGGAACCACAUAUGCCACUUUACAUUUCCUAGGCAGUCACCCGAUAAAUGGUCAAGGUGCCUCUGGAGAAGGCUUGAGAGAAGAAGCCAUAUAUAGAGUCAUAUCUCAGUUGAGCCUCCAAGCCAAAGGCUUUAUAUCUAGAAACUGGACUUUCCAGCCCCCAGAACUGAAUGAUCAUGUUCCUCGAAUAGGGAUUGAAGAUGCCUCUAUCCCGGAAAAGAGAUUAUACCUCUGUAUGGAUGCUCGCCAAGCAAAGCACAUCUGUGAACAAAGAACUUAGUGGGAAAAAAACUUAAUGCAAGGCAACCUAAAGGUCACUGCUAAUGCAAAUACUGAAAAAAAAAAAGCCUUACUCACAGAUAAUUGUUAUUCCCUGGAUCUAGAACUAAUAUUGGAAAGUAUUUUGUCAAGGGUAUGUUUCCUUGAAAUACGAUAAUGAGAGCAAUUAUAUUUGCUUUCCCCAACACUUCCAAACUUCCAUACAGAUGUUCAUAACUUUAAAAAGAAAAUUUCUAGAUUGAGUUACCCUAUUUACUGUUCUUUUAUGACUUUAUACACUGUCAUUCUUUUAGAUGCUUCCCAAACCCCAAAUCUAUAUUCUAAUUCAGGUUUCUGUUUAAAGCUAAAACAUUGUUUCUAUUUGGGUAGUUACAGUUUCUUCACUAGCUCUAGAACUUUAUGAAUAAAAAGAAGAAAAUUUGUACUUUUUAUAUUAAAUUUGUACUUUUUGUUCUACAUUAGAGGCAUGUGGAAUAGAUGGUCAGGGAAGUAAUUGCUGUCACCUCCAAUUAAUGUGGUCUGGGAAAGAGGCUCCACCCUUCCAAUCACGAUGCAUUAACAUUUUUCACACGGGAUAAUAAUGAUCAUUUAUCAUGUCUUCUAGAUGACAACAUACAGUUAGAUGGUCCAUGCUUCUUAGUCAGCAUGUCAGAAAUAUUUUAUCAUGGUUGCAUCAACUCUUGGUGGCAUUAAAUGCCACAAAACCCCUCACUAUGCACUGUCACCGUUAGUCUGGCUCUGAAGUCCAUUGGCCAGCCAGCCCUGUGUAGUGUUCUCAAUCAAUGUUCUCCCAGGCAGACAUACAAAAGUAUAUUUUCCAUAGGCCACAAAGACUCCUUCUUUUUGUCUACAGUGCACAAACUGGUAUGUACAUACAUUGUUUCAUCGAAAGUGUUGCAAAUUACGUUGUCAAAAUUCUCUCCAUUUGUUCUAAAUACCUCUUCUUUGUUUAGCAUUAAGUUUCCAAAACAAAUAAUCAUUAGAUAGUAGGCAUUGAUGGUGAAAAAAUUAUAGGUUUUUAAAGUGUGUUUAACACAAAAUGCUAUUAUUCUACAAUAGUAAGCAGGGAAAUAAAAUUGAAACCACUAAUCUCUAAAAUAGUGAUAUGAUGAAGUAUUUUGAAAUCAAGGUGUCCUAGAGAGCCUUUUGCUAUUGACUGUCUUCACCUGAGAUGAGGCGCAUGACAAAAAAACAACUGGG